GGGUUGUGAGGUUAAGCGACUAAGCGUACACGGUGGAUGCCCUGGCAGUCAGAGGCGAUGAAGGGCGUGCUAAUCUGCGAUAAGCGCCGGUAAGGUGAUAUGAACCGUUAUAACCGGCGAUACCCGAAUGGGGAAACCCAGUGUGACUCGUCACACUAUCAUUAACUGAAUCCAUAGGUUAAUGAGGCGAACCGGGGGAACUGAAACAUCUAAGUACCCCGAGGAAAAGAAAUCAACCGAGAUUCCCCCAGUAGCGGCGAGCGAACGGGGAGGAGCCCAGAGCCUGAAUCAGCAUGUGUGUUAGUGGAAGCGUCUGGAAAGGCGCGCGAUACAGGGUGACAGCCCCGUACACAAAAGCGCAUGUGCUGUGAGCUCGAUGAGUAGGGCGGGACACGUGGUAUCCUGUCUGAAUAUGGGGGGACCAUCCUCCAAGGCUAAAUACUCCUGACUGACCGAUAGUGAACCAGUACCGUGAGGGAAAGGCGAAAAGAACCCCGGCGAGGGGAGUGAAAAAGAACCUGAAACCGUGUACGUACAAGCAGUGGGAGCCCCACCACUAAGCCAGUGGUGAACUCCACAUACGCAUCCUUUGCUGAGG
rnacentral:rRNA from 1 species